rnacentral:rRNA from 1 species
AUUGAACGCUGGCGGCAGGCCUAACACAUGCAAGUCGAACGAGUGGCGGACGGGUGAGUAAUGUCUGGGAAACUGCCUGAUGGAGGGGGAUCACUACUGGAAACGGUAGCUAAUACCGCAUACCAUCGGAUGUGCCCAGAUGGGAUUAGCUAGUAGGUGGGGUAACGGCUCACCUAGGCGACGAUCCCUAGCGGGUCUGAGAGGAUGACCAGCAAGACUGGAACUGAGACACGGUCCAGACUCCUACGGUAGGCAGCAGUGGGGAAUAUUGCACAAUGGGCGCAAGCCUGAUGCAGCCAGGCCGCGUGUAGGAAGAAGGCCUUCGGGUUGUAAAGUACUUUCAGCGGGGAGGCGUUACCCGCAGAAGAAGCACCGGCUAACUCCGUGCCAGCAGCCGCGGUAAUAC